CGGCAGAGCAGUAAUCUCCCAGAACACAAGUGGAAAAAAACAUGGAGUGAAUCUUCCUUCAGCAGUGCAAAUGGAGAAAUAGCGCUGCCUUAUGGAUUAGACUUCUCAGAGUGAAAAGGCUAGGGAACUGCAGCAAAAUGAGCCGACUCAAGCCUACAGAAGAUGGGUGGCCCACGCACUGCCACUCCCCAAGGACACAGGGACGGGUUUCUACUAGAUUGCUGUGAGGAUUUGUUAGAAUUCAGGAAAAAGAUCAUUUGUAUUACCAGGAUGUUGGAUUAUCAUUAUCCCACCUCAUCCCCAACUCAUUCCAAAGGUAUUGGAUGGUGCUCCAUCAUUACAGAUAAUGGGGGGGGGGGGGGUGAUGAAACCAAAACAGACUUGUUCAGCUCAGGUGGUGUCCAGCAUGUGUGUCAGCGCCCUGAUGAGGAGCAUCAAGAAAACCAUCCCUGGUAUACAGUCAAGCAUGGUGGUGGUGGUAGCAUCUUGGUCUGGGGCUGUAUGAGUGCUGAUGGCAUUAAGGAGCUGAAGUCUCCUUAACAUGUACUGUGACAUUUUAAAGCAGAGCAUGUUCUCCUCCCUUCAGAAACUGGGCCACAUAGUACAUAGCAACGACAACUGCCUUGCUAAGGAAGCAGAAGGCAAAGGUGAUGGACUAGCCAAGUAUGUCUCCGGACCUUAACCCAAUUGAGCACCUGUGUGGCAUCCUCCAAGUUUUAUUUCUGUAAUGUUGUCCCAUGAAAAGAUAUAGUAAAAUAUUUUCAGAAAUGUAAGGGGUGUACUCACUUUUGUUGGAUACUGUUUAUUGUUUGGCAGCGAUGUGCAGCUUGUGUGUGCUAGUAAGUCAUGAAUUUCCCAACAGAAUAAAAUUAGUGUGCAAAUGGCUCAUACAAGAUGUAUAGACUACUGCAAAGCAUCCUCAUUACAGUUCCCAUGUGAUUGUUGUGUUAUCUAGAGAAUCUUGAAGCUUGCUUCUGUCCCAGCUACAUUCAUCUGGGAGGAUGCAGAGUAAUAUUUAAGAUUCAUAACCAAAGUAAUGGAAAUGGUGCGCUUUCAGUGCUGUGUUUUUCACACAUCAGAGCAUGAAAUGUUCUAUAUCUCAAAAUCUCAAACUUCCCACCAAAAAGCAACAUCACCUCAGUUGUUUGAGUUUGGAACUAUUUAUGCUCACCCAGAGGCACAUGUUUGGAUGUUAAAAACCUCUUGAAAUUAAUGAUUUGUUUAUUUAUUGCCUUAUUUAUUGUAUGUAGGUUUUGCCAAUGUUGUUUUAAUGACUAUUCUGCUCAGUUGCACUUUAAAAUUACUUUAACCACCCA